GAUGAAGAACGUAGCGAAAUGCGAUAAGUAAUGUGAAUUGCAGAAUUCAGUGAAUCAUCGAAUCUUUGAACGCACAUUGCGCCCGCCAGUAUUCUGGCGGGCAUGCCUGUUCGAGCGUCAUUUCAACCAUCAAGCCCCCGGCUUGUGUUGGGGACCUGCGGCUGCCGCAGGCCCUGAAAUGCUGUGGCGGGCUCGCUGUCACUCCGAGCGUAGUAGUUACAUCUCGCUCUGGGCGUGCUGCGGGUUCCGGCCGUUAAAAGCCUUAUUUACCCAAGGUUGACCUCGGAUCAGGUAGGAAGACCCGCUGAACUUAAGCAUAUCAAUAAGCGGAGGA
rnacentral:misc_RNA from 1 species